rnacentral:rRNA from 1 species
CAGCAGCCACGGUAAUACGAAGGGGGCUAGCGUUGUUCGGAUUUACUGGGCGUAAAGCGCACGUAGGCGGACUUUUAAGUCAGGGGUGAAAUCCCGGGGCUCAACCCCGGAACUGCCUUUGAUACUGGAAGUCUUGAGUAUGGUAGAGGUGAGUGGAAUUCCGAGUGUAGAGGUUAAAUUCGUAGAUAUUCGGAGGAACACCAGUGGCGAAGGCUGCUCACUGGACCAUUACUGACGCUGAGGUGCGAAAGCGUGGGGAGCAAACAGGAUUAGAUACCCCGGUAGUCCCUGUCUCUUAUAC